rnacentral:rRNA from 1 species
AGGCUUAACACAUGCGGGUCCAGGGGCAGCAUGGGCUUAGCUUGCUAAGGCCGAUGGCGACCGGCGCACGGGUGAGUAACACGUAUCCAACCUGCCGUCUACUCUUGGACAGCCUUCUGAAAGGAAGAUUAAUACAAGAUGGCAUCAUGAGUCCGCAUGUUCACAUGAUUAAAGGUAUUCCGGUAGACGAUGGGGAUGCGUUCCAUUAGAUAGUAGGCGGGGUAACGGCCCACCUAGUCUUCGAUGGAUAGGGGUUCUGAGAGGAAGGUCCCCCACAUUGGAACUGAGACACGGUCCAAACUCCUACGGGAGGCAGCAGUGAGGAAUAUUGGUCAAUGGGCGAGAGCCUGAACCAGCCAAGUAGCGUGAAGGAUGACUGCCCUAUGGGUUGUAAACUUCUUUUAUAAAGGAAUAAAGUCGGGUAUGCAUACCCGUUUGCAUGUACUUUAUGAAUAAGGAUCGGCUAACUCCGUGCCAGCAGCCGCGGUAAUACGGAGGAUCCGAGCGUUAUCCGGAUUUAUUGGGUUUAAAGGGAGCGUAGAUGGAUGUUUAAGUCAGUUGUGAAAGUUUGCGGCUCAACCGUAAAAUUGCAGUUGAUACUGGAUAUCUUGAGUGCAGUUGAGGCAGGCGGAAUUCGUGGUGUAGCGGUGAAAUGCUUAGAUAUCACGAAGAACUCCGAUUGCGAAGGCAGCCUGCUAAGCUGCAACUGACAUUGAGGCUCGAAAGUGUGGGUAUCAAACAGGAUUAGAUACCCUGGUAGUCCACACGGUAAACGAUGAAUACUCGCUGUUUGCGAUAUACGGCAAGCGGCCAAGCGAAAGCGUUAAGUAUUCCACCUGGGGAGUACGCCGGCACCGGUGAAACUCUAAGGAUCUGACG